AAUUAUAUUAAUACAAGAUAUAAAGUCAAAGUAGGAAAUUUUAUCUAGUGCAGACUAUUUCAAGAUUUCAUAGAGCUACCACACUAGAGCAUAAUAAUAUGCACUACUUCAUGUUCAAGAAUGGAAUUAG